UACGGUAGGGUCCGAGCGUUUGUCCGGAAGUUACUGGGCGUAAGAGGCUCGUAGGUGGUUUGUCGCGUUGUUACGUGAAAACUCACAGCUUAACUGUGGCGUGCGGGCGAUAGCGGGCGAGACUUGAGUAUUGUCAGGGAGGACUAGGUGAAUUCCUGGGUGUAAGCGGUGGAAUGCGCAGAUAUCAGGAGGAACACCGGUGGCGGAAGGCGGGUCUCUGG
rnacentral:rRNA from 1 species